CCUACGGGAGGCAGCAGUGGGGAAUAUUGGACAAUGGGGGGAACCCUGAUCCAGCCAUGCCGCGUGUGUGAAGAAGGCCCUCGGGUUGUAAAGCACUUUCAGUGAGCAAGAACGCCUGGUGGUUAAUACCCAUCAGGAAAGACAUCACUCACAGAAGAAGCACCGGCUAACUCCGUGCCAGCAGCCGCGGUAAUACGGAGGGUGCGAGCGUUAAUCGGAAUUACUGGGCGUAAAGCGCGCGUAGGUGGCUUGAUAAGCCGGUUGUGAAAGCCCCGGGCUCAACCUGGGAACGGCAUCCGGAACUGUCAAGCUAGAGUGCAGGAGAGGAAGGUAGAAUUCCCGGUGUAGCGGUGAAAUGCGUAGAGAUCGGGAGGAAUACCAGUGGCGAAGGCGGCCUUCUGGACUGACACUGACACUGAGGUGCGAAAGCGUGGGUAGCAAACAGGAUUAGAUACCCUGGUAGUC
rnacentral:rRNA from 1 species